rnacentral:rRNA from 1 species
AUUGAACGCUGGCGGCAGGCCUAACACAUGCACGUCGAGCGGAGCGGCGGACGGGUGAGUAAUGCCUAGGACUCUGCCUGGUAGUGGGGGAUAACGUACGGAAACGGGCGCUAAUCCCGCAUACUAUCAGAAGAGCCUAGGUCGGAUUAGCUGUGUGGUGGGGUAAAGGCCUACCAAGGCGAAGCUCCGUAACUGGUCUGAGAGGAUGAUAAGUCAUAUUGGAACUGAGAGACGGUCCAGACGCCUACGGGAGGCAGCAGUGGGGAAUAUUGGACAAUGGGCGAAAGCCUGAUCCAGCCAUGCCGCGUGUGUGAAGAAGGUCUUCGGAUUGUAAAGCACUUUAAGUUGGGAGGCGUUACCAACAGAAUAAGCACCGGCUAACUUCGUGCCAGCAGCCGCGGUAAUAC